rnacentral:tRNA from 1 species
AAGGAAGUGGCAGAUCGGUUAUGCAAUUGGCUUGAAACCAAAAAAAGGGGGUUCAAUUCCUUCCUUCCUCG